CGGGGUGCAGCAGGCGCGAAAACUUUACAAUGCGGGAAACCGUGAUAAGGGGACACCGAGUGCCAGCAUCAUAUGCUGGCUGUCCAGGUGUGUAAAAUACACCUGUCAGCAAGGGCCGGGCAAGACCGGUGCCAGCCGCCGCGGUAACACCGGCGGCCCGAGUGGUGAUCGUGAUUAUUGGGUCUAAAGGGUCCGUAGCCGGUUUGGUCAGUCCUCCGGGAAAUCUGACGGCUCAACCGUUAGGCUUUCGGGGGAUACUGCCAGGCUUGGAACCGGGAGAGGUAAGAGGUACUACAGGGGUAGGAGUGAAAUCUUGUAAUCCCUGUGAGACCACCUGUGGCGAAGGCGUCUUACCAGAACGGGUUCGACGGUGAGGGACGAAAGCUGGGGGCACGAACCGGAUUAGAUACCCGGGUAGUCCCAGCCGUAAACGAUGCUCGCUAGGUGUCAGGCAUGGCGCGACCGUGUCUGGUGCCGCAGGGAAGCCGUGAAGCGAGCCACCUGGGAAGUACGGCCGCAAGGCUGAAACUUAAAGGAAUUGGCGGGGGAGCACAAGGGCGAAUNGCG
rnacentral:rRNA from 1 species